rnacentral:rRNA from 1 species
GAUUUCUGGGUGACUGUGCUAGCCCGCUCCUUUCCGGGAGUGUGUGCCGGCAUACGUCAUUCAUCCUUCUAGAAAGCCUUGCCUGCCGUUCAUUCGGCCGGGCAUGUGCGGUCUAGAUCUUUUACUUUGAAUAAAUUAGAGUGUUUAAAGCAGGCUUACGCUAUGAAUACACUAGCAUGGAAUAAUAAUAUAGGACUUUGGUUCUAUUUUGUUGGUUUCUAGGACUGAAGUAAUGAUUGAUAGGGAUAGUUGGGGGUGCUAGUAUUCAGUGGCCAGAGGUGAAAUUCUUGGAUUCACUGAAGACUAACUACUGCGAAAGCAUU